rnacentral:lncRNA from 1 species
AUCACAAUAUAUAUACAGACAUGUAUACAUACACGUUUGUGUAAGUAAUGGUUGUUGUGUUCUGAUUUGGAUUCUGAGAUAGGAUUGGUUUGAUUAGUAUGAAAAAUGUGAGUAGAUCUUGUUGUGGGUUGAAGUUUCUGUGUUUGUUGUGGCUUUACUUCUCAGAAUUUAUGCCAAAUGUGCAUUAUUUUUAGCUCAGAAUGUGAAAACUGCUUUUGGAGACUAAGAUUUUAAUAUACAACAGACUUCUUCAUUGGUUUAUUUUAUUCCGGGAUUCGAAAUUUAGAUCUGAAAUUUUUUAAGCUGUGGUGCCUAAUUAUUAUGUCCUUGUAAAUUUUGUCAAACGAAUUCGAGUCCUCGUAAAUUUCGAUUUUACUCUAACUUGUCUUAUAAAUAUAAAUAGAGAGCUUUCAUAUAAGACUUUUUAGUUAGCAUCAUAAGAGAAAGAAAUUGAGGUAAAAGAUGAUAAGUGUGCAAUUUUCUCUUGUAAACUUCAUUUCAUGAUAGUGAACUGCUGCUAAUUCUCAACAAAUUUUUGUUUCUUUUGAUGCUUUUCAAGGUCUGGUGUUUGGUGGUUCUGUAUUAAUAGUUUUUUCCUAUUUUUGUUUCAAAAUUUCUUAAUAGAGCAUAUAACUGAUAGGCAUUUUUUAUUUAAAAUUUAGUACUUUUCAUUGCAGCAAAUGAAAGUACAUGCAUUUUCACAUCUUCAAUUGUUGAAGACAAGAUUUAAAUGAAUGCAUUGAGAUUUAAGUGAAUACAAUUGACAUCGCUUUAAUACCUUCAACUUUUUAGACGAGAUGAUUAACACAGACAAAGUUAAAGGAUUUCUUUUAGCUAGUGCAUUUAUGCUUUUUGGCUUUGCUUUUGUUCUUUUCAUAGAUCCUGUGAUCUCGGAAAUGGGUGGUUGGCCUUUGCUUUUAAUCUUUAUUGGUUUUAUUUGUAUGAAAGAGAAAAUUAUCAUUUUAAAUUAAGCAGAUGUGUUUUUUUAGCAAAUUUCAUUGCCGAGAAACGACUCUUUUUUUAGUAAGAUGGACAAAUCAUGAAGCUUCUUCUUGGUUCAAGAUCGGGUUUAAAUUCUACUAAGCCUAUUGCCAUCGUUUUAAAGGCAUAAUGUAUCUUUUCCUUAAUCAUGUCUAGUCAAACUCCCUAUAUAAAAGUUAGGGGUGAAGGAUAUUUAAGUUUGUCGAAUCGUUUCAAGAAAAAAGGGUAAUUUCUUAAAACAAUAAAUAUGAACACAUGCGUAGAAAGUUUUUAUAUUGCGUUUAGAAAGGCUAACAUGUAGUCCUAGUUCGUGAAUUAUUAUUUUUUCUUCAAAACUGCAAAGUGGAAAAUGACCUGUCCCCAACCCAUGUUCAAGAUUAAAGUUUCGUGGUUGCUCAAGAUCUUUUAUUAAUCAAGUCAAACAUACUAUGAUUUUGUCUUGCAGAAAAUAUCUUGAAUGACUAAUUAUUCAAGGGAUGUUAGGUUGCAGUCGUCUUAGUGGUCAAUUUUUAAAUAUCUAUCUAGACUGUUUCUAUAUUUUGACUCGUUAUUCAUAAAUAUAUUUGUGUACACCUCAUCAGAAGGUGUUUGUUGAGUUGAGUAUGUUGACGGUCAUUUCAAUGUUUGACGAUUAAUAUGGAGUUAACAGUAAAAUAUUAGUUAGCCGCUCACAGAAUAGUCUACUUUUCAAAGGUGUGAAUUUUUUUGUAAUACCUCAAAUUAUUACCUUCAUUGACGAAUGAGAUUCUGUAGAAUUGGUUGUAUAUUAAAUAUUAGUUAGCCGGUCACAGAAUAGUCUACUUUUCAAAGGUGUGAAUUUUUUCGUAAUACCUCAAAUUAUCACCUUCAUUGGCGAAUGAGAUUCUGUAGUUACAUUGGUUGUAUAUAUAUGUGUAGAUAAUUCUAUGUAUAACGUCGAUCGAAAAUUUAUAGUCGUGGCUUGUUACUGCAAAUAGAAGCCUUCACAUUGCUCAUUCGUCAUAGAUUUUGAUGUCCUACGUCCUAUAUUCUCAAGUACUUUUGCUCUAAGAUUUCAUAUAAUUUGAUUGCCUACAGAUGUUGAUAUUUCUCAAGCUUUAUGGUUACUGAUUUUUGAGAUGUUUGGCAGGAAGGACUAAAUAGUUCUGUACACUAUUAACAAAGAAAAAUAAAUAAAAUUGUUCAUUGUAUUUUUGAAGAUGUGCUAUUUUCUG